rnacentral:rRNA from 1 species
UUUAGAACGUCGUGAGACAGUUCGGUCCCUAUCUGCCGUGGGCGCUGGAGAACUGAGGGGGGCUGCUCCUAGUACGAGAGGACCGGAGUGGACGCAUCACUGGUGUUCGGGUUGUCAUGCCAAUGGCACUGCCCGGUAGCUAAAUGCGGAAGAGAUAAGUGCUGAAAGCAUCUAAGCACGAAACUUGCCCCGAGAUGAGUUCUCCCUGACUCCUUGAGAGUCCUGAAGGAACGUUGAAGACGACGACGUUGAUAGGCCGGAUGUGUAAGCGCAGCGAUGCGUUGAGCUAACCGGUACUAAUGAACCGUGAGGCUUAACCUUACAACGCCGAAGCUGUU